AUUUUUAAUAUUUAAUUUUUAAUUUGAAUUUAAAUUAAUAUAUUAUAAAGAUAAUGUUAGUAUAUUAAUUUGAUUACGUUUUUUAUAUCCACCUGAACCAAACACCGACAAUGGGAAUAAUUUAUUCCGAUUCCGAUUCAGGUGAUGAACCAAACAGAAUUAGGUAAUAAAUCAUUCCGAUUCCGAUUCCACCUUAUUUUGAUUCCGAUUCUGAUUCCGACUCCAACUUCGAACCAAACACGCCCUAAUAGUAUAACAACUUUAUGUCCAUAGACAAACACCGUAGUCAUU
rnacentral:lncRNA from 1 species